rnacentral:tRNA from 1 species
GAGAUGUUAGUAAAACAAAUUACAUCACCUUGUCAAGGUGAAAUUAUGGGUUAAAGCCCCGUACACCUCC